CAGGCAUCCUGUGACCCAUCUUGGUCUGUCACUUGAGACCUCUCACCUUUUAUCUGGUCUUGAAAUGUACAGCCUGCAAAGGCCUCUGAGAUCUAUGUUUUUUGUUGUUGUUGUUUGGUUGGCUUUUUAGGACACAAAGAACUAUUUAAAAUCCAUCACUAUUUUCUGUUUCUGUUUUUAUUUUUUUCCAUACAACCUCUAGAUCAAGUGCAAACAACAGAGUAAAUUUUAUUUUAUGUGUACUAAUUCUCAAUUCAGUAUUUUUGACAUCAAUGGUUGAAGUGUCCUAGAUUUAGUUGUUAUUGUUCCACUUUAAUUUUUAUUUGCUACAGGAGCAUCAUGGUUCAGGUUAAGAGAUCAAACUAGUUGCUUUAUCAGAUACACCCUUACAUUCUCUUUCUCAUGCAAUACAGAUCUGUCAGCCACAAAUGUUAAACCUAAAAUAUCUACCAUAUGUUUUUCUCUGGAAAAAG
rnacentral:lncRNA from 1 species